GUACAAAGAUUCACAAAAUGUUUAGGGUUGUACGUACCCCCAGAAAAAAAGCACUGCAUAUACCAAUAUCAAAAUAUUGCCCUGGGAAAGUACCUGGGUUUUUGUGUGUGUAACAGAAGGUUCAGGAUAGAAGUGUUCAGAUAAUGGCUGGAGCACUGAGGCUAUUGUUUUUAAUGGGGGGGGUGGUGUUGUUUGUUUUCCCCCAUUAUGUCUUAGCUACAGUGUUGGGCUUCAAAUGUACUGACUUAGGAAAGCUCUCUGCACCCUAUAGAAAUUCCUCAUGUAGAAAUUCAAGAUGCUGGAUCACCCUGACUAUGAGCACAACAGUUUUCAUCCCUGGACUUUCGAAGGGCUUUUGGCAGGGCACCCUCUGUUUUGUCCCUUCCCUCACUGAGUCUACCUCCUCACUGCAACAAGGCCAGAGGGGUCUUGGAAGUGGACCCCUGGAUGGCAUGUGGGCUCUUGACAGAUGUGCAGUCAUGCUAGCUCUUGGCACCAGUUCUACUCACCUAGCUGUUAUCAUGGCUGCCUCUCCUCUCUGCUUGAAGCAGAACCCCAGAAGGAAGUAGCCUUCUCUUCAUUGCCAGGGUACAUUUGUGACAUGCCUGUUGUGGCCUCGAACCCGGGAUCUGGAAAUGAGUGGUGUGCCGAGGGCCAGAUAUAAGCUGCCCUUUAGACUUCUGCAUGGGCUGCAAGUCAGUCAUGCAGGUGCUUAUAGCGGUGGGCAUUAAAUCAUGGCUUCCCGGUAACAUAAGUCGACUGUAUAUGUGACCAGCACAACACAGGCCAAUUUUGUUCUGUGUUCAAGAGCCCAUAGCAAUCUAGAUUUGCACCAUCCCAGCCCCAGCAAGACCAGCACCUGUCCUGAACCCCUGGUCUACCAGGCGACAAGUCAGUGUGUCAAGUCCCCACUCCAGGGUCAAUCUGCGUGUCCAAACCAAAGCACGGUCCCUCAGAGAUCCUGGAGCAAUCAACAUGGGCAGUUGAGCAGAUACAGCACCUCAGCUCUGCUGCCCUUUGCAUGUGGAUUGCAGCAUCUGGGUUUGAUGAGGCAUGGGAGCCUCACCUGCUCCAAGCCUACUCCGGCUGAGGAAUCACACACCUCCUCUCAGAGCUAGCGAGCCCCACCUGGCCAGCUAGUGAGCUGGGCUUGUCAGCCUUUGCCUGCCUCAGCCUCCUAGAGCACCCUGCCUGCUGUUCCCUAUGCCUCAGAAUCUGCUGUGUGUUGAGACAGGGGCCCCUCUGGCUCUGGUGAUGGGUCCUGCUGCUCUGGUUCCUGUGCACUGACUCCCAUCCAUCAUCCUCCGCCACCCUGUUGUGAACCCCUUAGGACCUGGCAUCCAGUUCCAACUAAGCCUCCUAGAAUACCUUGCUGUAAUCCUGUGGACUCCAGAGCCAAUGCGCCAUGUGACAAAGGUGUUCAGUGCCGAGAGUUUGUGCAGCGCCCGUCCGAUUUUGCGUGCCGUCCGGUUGGUGUUCCAAGCCUGCGAGAGAUUGCAGCGCAAGAAUUGGCGAGGGUGCCGGGUGAGGGGGACCUGAGGAGGGCACAGGAAAGCUGAGAAUGUAUCUGUGUGUGUACAUGCAAAGUGGUGUCACACAGGGUGGAAGGAUUGCUGUCUGUUGCCCGGAGUAUGGAAGGAUCCUUUGUAUUGCUGUGCAUGUUACCAGCGUCAGAAAAGUUUUCCUCUACUCUCCGUGUGUUUUAUACGGGUCCAGCGGUAUUACAGAGAAAGACUUAAGCAAGACUUUGAGGAGAAUGGUCAGGGCUGUUGUCAAAAGAUACGCUAAUUAGAGGGCUAUUCAUAUUUACUGAGUAACUAUAGCGAAGCAAUAUUGUUACUGAACCCCAAUUCCACGCUCCAAAAAUGCUAGGUUGUGCAACCACAUAACUCCUAGCUUGCAUAAAUGAUAUUACUUUGUGAAAUUUUGUUUUUGUUGGUCUGGAUGGGUGUGUGAAGAGCUGUGCAAGGAAA